GAUGAAGAACGUAGCGAAAUGCGAUAAGUAAUGUGAAUUGCAGAAUUCAGUGAAUCAUCGAAUCUUUGAACGCAUCUUGCGCUCCUUGGUAUUCUGAGGAGCAUGCCUGUUUGAGUGUCAUUAAAUUCUCAACUACACUGACUUUGAAUUGGUGUGGCUUGGAUUUGGGGGGAAAAUUGUUGUGGGCUUUUUGUAUAGUCUGCUCCCCUGAAAUUGAUUAGCGGUACCUUUGUGGAACUGUCUACAGGUGUGAUAAUUAUCUACAUCUUAGACAUCUGCUGGAAUGCUGCUUUCUAAACCUUACUUGUAUUGACAAUCUUGACCUCAAAUCAGGUAGGACUAUCCGCUGAACUUAAGCAUAUCAAUAAGCGGAGGA
rnacentral:misc_RNA from 1 species